UAACAACUGUAGGCAUUGAGGCUGAAAAACUCGGAGAUUGUGUGUUGUCUAUCAACUCGUCCUCUCCCAAGUCAAUGAGGAUGGGGUUAAACUACGGCACAAAAUUC